AAGUUGACCUCGGAUCAGGUAG
rnacentral:rRNA from 1 species